GGAGGGCAAGUCUGGUGCCAGCAGCCGCGGUAAUUCCAGCUCCAAUAGCGUAUAUUAAACUUGUUGCAGUUAAAAAGCUCGUAGUUGAAUUUCUGCGUUAUCGAGUUAUUGACUCUUGUCUUUAAUCGAUUUCGCUUUUGGGAUUUAUCCCUUUUUACUUUGAGAAAAUUAGAGUGUUUCAAGCAGACUUUUGUCUUGAAUACUUCAGCAUGGAAUAAUAGAGUAGGACUUUGGUUCUAUUUUGUUGGUUUUUGAACCUUAGUAAUGGUUAAUAGGAACGGUUGGGGGCAUUCGUAUUUAACUGUCAGAGGUGAAAUUCUUAGAUUUGUUAAAGACGAACUACUGCGAAAGCAUUUGCCAAGGACGUUUCCAUUAAUCAAGAACGAAAGUUAGGGGAUCGAAGACGAU
rnacentral:rRNA from 1 species